GAGGGUACAGCUCAGUGGGUAGAGCGCAUGCUUAGCAUGUAUGAGGUCAUGGAUUCGAUCACCAGUAUCUCCA
rnacentral:tRNA from 1 species